GAACAGCCUCUGGUCGAUGGAA
rnacentral:snRNA from 1 species